UCAUCUUUUUUACAAAUAAAAAACAUAAAUGAGGCAAAUGCAAUUUUGUAUACAAAACAUUUUUCAAUAUACAUUUAGAGUCCAAGCACAAUAAUACAUCUUUUUGGCUAUAUAAGCCUUACAUAAUCCUUAACAAGGUAUGUCUGUUUAAUCUUAAUCUCCACCCAAACAUGUAUUAAUUUUGAGCCUUAGAGUGUUUGAAGGUAGUUUGUAGGUCAUAUUCACCUCAUAUUACGACCACACGUCACUCUCUAAGAUAAUUUCUUUCGCCAUGACCACCUUGAACUUGAGUCCCGAUCAGAACAAAAUUUAUAGAGAGUACUAAAAUUUAUUUAUUAUACUAAAAUUUAUAAAUAUUUUAAAUGAAAUUUUAUUAUUAAAAAAAGGACUAAUUUUAAGAUAAAAUUGAUUAUCUAACAUAUAUACUCUGGUAUAAUAAUAUAAGUGGCAUAUUAAUAAAAAGAAUUAAGAUAAGUGUCAAUUUAUCUUUUUUUUCAAAUAUAACAUUAAUUGUGUAAUUGUGUUAUCUAAUUAAUACUGUGUGCACAACUAUUAAACUAGUCUUGUACUUUACAUAUUUUUAAAAUGCUAAAUAUAUCAAUGAUUAGUAAUAUUAAUUUAAUAAAAUUAUUUUUACUCUUGUUUUUAUGCAAAACUAAGACUAAGCCAUUUCAUUAGCAAUCAUAAAAUCAAUCCAACUGACGCGUUGAUUACUAAAGGUUGUGUCCUCUCGAUUGCAUAUGCCAUUUGAGUGCUAUAGAUGUGUUGAUUCAUGGCUUCCUAUGAAACAUUGGAUGAAAUUCGACUCUUGUUUGGAGGGACUUUUGAAUCUUUCAUAGUUUUAUGGAUCUUUCUUCCUCCUCUUUAUACUUCAUGUGUUGCUAUAUAUAAGAUGUUGACUUUGCAGAAGAUGAUUGAGAGGAAGCAAAAUAGGAAUUCCUAGAGUCAAGGCACUUCUAUGUUGGAGCCUCAAGGCAGCCACGUCCAUGCAAUUCUUUUGAAAUAGAUGUCGAUGGUUGAGCACAAAAACACACGAGACUAAAAUCAUGUCGACCUAAAGCAUCUUCAACUUCCUACAUCAGGCACUACGCGUCAAAGUAGCAAUUUUCUCUUUUUGUUUCUUAGAUGACUGUGUUGCGUGGCUGACAUGCACCCCCCCUAAGCCGUUAGAAUGUAUCUUCUAUAAAAACUCAUCGAUGGCUCUCAAAUAAGGGCUUUUUUAUAAUUUCAAAUCAAGCUCCUUAAAUAUAUCGUUGGUAAGAUUUGAUCUUUUCACUAUUUGUUCCUCAAAAUAUUGGAUUGGUAUCAUAACUCAUAUGUACUUGUUUAAAACAUGUGUUGGUUGAUAGUUGAUUACUCAAAGUUGUACCAAACAAUUUAUAAAGUUUCUUAUUCGAUACUGAAAUGCAUUGACCAA